rnacentral:rRNA from 1 species
UACGGAGGAUGCGAGCGUUAUCCGGAUUUAUUGGGUUUAAAGGGUGCGUAGGCGGCGAGUUAAGUCAGCGGUAAAAGCCCGGGGCUCAACCCCGGCGAGCCGUUGAAACUGGCUGUCUUGAGAUGUCGAGAGGUAUGCGGAAUGCGCAGUGUAGCGGUGAAAUGCUUAGAUAUUGCGCAGAACUCCGAUUGCGAAGGCAGCAUACCGGCGGCGAUCUGACGCUGAGGCACGAAGGCCAGGGGAGCGAAAGGG